rnacentral:tRNA from 1 species
ACUUCUAAAAGAUAAUAGUUAUCUAU